rnacentral:lncRNA from 1 species
AGCGACAUAAAUCCGCACGCUGUGUUGCCGAUGUAUUUCCCCAUAAUGACUGCCAGUUGAAAAACGAUGAUAGGAAGUUCGCCAACUGUCCGACGACGCUUGCAGACUUAUUGGCGAUUUUGCCUAUACCCUUCACUUUUUGGGCGAGGCCCCGGUCGCGAAGCGCCACUCGGGGGGCCGAGCCCCCCAUUGCUGUCAGUCAGUCAGUCAGUCCAUCAGUCAGUCAGUCAGUCAGUCAUGCUGUAACAUUUCAUCUUAUUUCACCCCGAUUAAAAUUGCGUCUGAAAGUUAUUCUGAUUCUCUAUCAAUGGACCAAUGGAACUGAUUCAGAUAAAUUUGUGGGCGAAGUUAGCUUCCGAAUAUAUUAACUUUCAUAUCUUGCCCUGCUUUAAAUUGCAUCUGAAAGCAAUUCUUAUCCUCUAUUGAUAGACCAAGGGAAUGAAUUCAGAUAUAUCUGUGGCCGAGUUGAAUUCCAGGGUGAGUUGAAUUUCCAUAUCUCACUCCGCUAAAGAUUGCAUGUAAAAGCUACAUCAAUUCUUUAUCGAUUGGCAAACGGAGAACAUUCAAAUACAUCGGAGCGCAAAGAUUACUUUCCCCUCACGCCGCAGCCCUUGCCUCUGACGUCGUUGCAUGUCCCUUACAUUAUAGAUUCAUAUUACAUUAAAGAUUCAUAAGCAAACGGCAUGAUCCUUUAUGGGUUGGUUCCUUCAUGCUCGGCAACUUUAGACCGACCCAUGGCAACCUCCCUCCUGGCGUCUCGCUCGUACCUGUUUGAUUGUUGUCCUUCUUAUUCUCUUCUUCAUUCAUUCAAUAAAGUUCAAACGAAGUGUGCCUUUGCGGCACACCAUCAGCUUUGCCGCUGCAUUCCGACUUCAAAAUGUGCAAUUGGAAGGAUCUCCGAAUGCGUUCUGGCUGGGAGCUGACAAAAAUUGGUCCAUGAAGCACGGGCACUGUGGCGCGCCUUGGACUGCCAGCCAGCAGGAGGGCCGGCGUCGAACAUGGAUGCAACGGUAGUACCACCUACGUAUCGGGCAGUCCCGACAUGGAUUUGGCGCAGCAGCGGCAACACACGUUGCCGCAAUGGCACUCCUGCUUUGUGUGUAUGUCAUUCUACGGAUUGCCGUAUCACGAGAAGGCUAACUGUUCAGUCAAUAAUGAUUAUGCUAUAGCAGCUGCGCGCUUGCGACGAUCCAGACAGGUCUACACCGCCGUCGCAAGUCUGCCGACCUUUAUUGUUUGAGGAUUUCAAUAACAAGUGUGUACUCCAAACGUGGCGGCGUUCUUGUGCUUGCACUCUUAUGCCGUACGGAUUGCCAUGCGAAUCAAACGGGGGUCAAGUGGCUGCGCGCCGAGCCCCUUUUCGGCUUUGAAAAGCCGCCCCCCUAGUCUCCGUGGCCUUUAGGCGUUCAGAAAUUGGCCUUUGGGUAGUUUUGCAGGUAUGGGGUCACUCACCCCCAACCAUGUGACACACACAUAUAUGAAAGCAUAGACGCGCAUGUGUCUGUUGGUUUCAGAUGCUUGUCUUUUUUUACUGCCAUGCUUUGCUACAGCAGCCUCGUACAGAUCGUUCCUGGUCUCCGCAUCGUACGCCCUUCAAUGAAACCGCCUCUUCAUUUGGCCUGUACUCUUUUGACGUUAAGUGGGCAAGAACCUAGAUGUUGGAUGAAAUGGACGCGCAUACUCGGACUGAGACACACUUACUCUUUGCGAAGGAACGUCGUAAAACGAGGCGCUGCG